GACGAACGCUGGCGGCGUGCUUAACACAUGCAAGUCGAACGAGUGGCGAACGGGUGAGUAACACGUGGGUGACCUGCCCUGCACUUCGGGAUAAGCCUGGGAAACUGGGUCUAAUACCGGAUCGUGUGGGAUGGGCCCGCGGCCUAUCAGCUUGUUGGUGGGGUAAUGGAUACCAAGGCGAGACGGGUAGCCGGCCUGAGAGGGUGGACGGCCACAGUGGGACUGAGACACGGCCCAGAAUCCUACGGAAGGCAGCAGUGGGGAAUAUGGCACAAUGGGCGAAAGCCUGACGGAGCAACGCCGCGUGAAGGAAGAAGGUCUUCGGAUCGUAAAACUCUGUUAUGAAGGAGCCGGUACCUAAUCAGAAAGCCACGGCUAACUACGUGCCAGCAGCCGCGGUAAUAC
rnacentral:rRNA from 1 species